UACAUAUAAUGAAGUAGUAGUAGCAGUAGCAGCAGUACUAAUAAUAGCAGUAAUAGUAGUAGCAGUAGUAUUAGUAGUAGUAGUAGCAUUUUUAGUAGUAGUAGUAGUAGUAGUAGUAGUAGUAGUAGUAGUAGUAGCAGCAGCGGUAGAAGUAAUAAUAGUAGUAGUAGUAACAGUAGUAUUAGUAGUAGUAGUAGCAUUUGUUGUAGUAGUAGUAGUUAUAAAUACCCAUGUACUUGAAGGCUUUUAGCAUCAACCACAAAUCAAAGUUUGAAUUUCUCAAUUAGUCUCUCUUACUUCUUCUUCCCAUAUU
rnacentral:lncRNA from 1 species